UACGUAGGGUGCGAGCGUUAAUCGGAAUUACUGGGCGUAAAGGGUGCGCAGGCGGUUAUAUAAGACAGAUGUGAAAUCCCCCGGGCUCAACCUGGGAACCUGCGUUUGUGACUGUAUGACUAGAGUACGGUAGAGAGGGGUGGAAUUCCUGGUGUAGCAGUGAAAUGCGUAGAUAUCAGGAGGAACAUCGAUGGCGAAGGCAGCCCCUUGGACCUGUACUGACGCUCAUGCACGAAAGCGUGGGGAGCAAACAGG
rnacentral:rRNA from 1 species